UACAGAGGUCCCAAGCGUUGUUCGGAUUCACUGGGCGUAAAGGGUGCGUAGGUGGUGAGGUAAGUCGGAUGUGAAAUCUCCAGGCUCAACCUGGAAAUGGCAUCGGAAACUACCUUGCUCGAGGUUUGGAGGGGGGACUGGAAUACUUGGUGUAGCAGUGAAAUGCGUAGAUAUCAAGUGGAACACCAGUGGCGAAGGCGAGUCCCUGGACAAUACCUGACACUGAGGCACGAAAGCCAAGGGAGCAAACAGG
rnacentral:rRNA from 1 species